UACAGAGGGUGCGAGCGUUAAUCGGAAUUACUGGGCGUAAAGCGUGCGUAGAUGGUUAUGUAAGUCGGAUGUGAAAGCCCCGGGCUCAACCUGGGAAUUGCAUUCGAGACUGCAUAGCUAGGAUGCGGAAGAGGGAAGCGGAAUUUCCGGUGUAGCGGUGAAAUGCGUAGAUAUCGGAAGGAACACCAGUGGCGAAGGCAGCCCCCUGGGCCAAUACUGACGCUCAUGCACGAAAGCGUGGGGAGCAAACAGG
rnacentral:rRNA from 1 species